rnacentral:rRNA from 1 species
UACGUAGGGGGCAAGCGUUGUCCGGAUUUAUUGGGCGUAAAGAGCGUGUAGGCGGUUUGGUAGGUCCGCUGUGAAAACUCGAGGCUCAACCUCGAGACGCCGGUGGAAACCAUCAGACUAGAGUCCGGAAGAGGAGAGUGGAAUUCCCAGUGUAGAGGUGAAAUUCGUAGAUAUUGGGAAGAACACCGGUGGCGAAGGCGGCGACCUGGUCCUUGACUGACGCUGAGGCGCGAAAGCGUGGGGAGCAAACAGG